UACGUAGGAUGCAAGCGUUGUCCGGAAUUACUGGGCGUAAAGCGUGCGCAGGCGGCUUUGCAAGACAGAUGUGAAAUCCCGGCGUACCUAGGACGUAGCAUUGGUACGUGCAAGGACGUAGAGUGUGUCAGAGGGGGUAGGAAUUCCUACCGUGUAGCAGUGAAAUAGCGUAGAGAUGUGGAGGAACACCAAUGGCGAAGGC
rnacentral:rRNA from 1 species